rnacentral:rRNA from 1 species
CCUACGGGAGGCAGCAGUGGGGGAUAUUGCACAAUGGGGGGAACCCUGAUUCAUCUCUUCCUCUUUUGUGAAGGAGCGUUUCGGCGCGUAAAGCCCUAUCGGCAGGGAAGAAGGAGGACGGUACCUGACUAAGAAGCCCCGGCUAACUACGUGCCAGCAGCCGCGGUAAUACGUAGGGGGCAAGCGUUAUCCGGAUUUACUGGGUGUAAAGGGGGCGCAGACGGCAGCGCAAGCCAGGAGUGAAAGCCCGGGGCCCAACCCCGGGACUGCUCUUGGAACUGCGCGGCUGGAGUGCAGGAGGGGCAGGCAGAAUUCCUGGUGUAGCGGUGAAAUGCGUAGAUAUCAGGAGGAACACCGGUGGCGAAGGUGGCCUGCUGGACUGCGACUGACGUUGAGGCCCGAAAGCGUGGGGAGCAAACAGGAUUAGAUACCCCUGUAGUC